GAUGAACGCUGGCGGCGUGCCUAAUACAUGCAAGUCGAGCGAACAGACGAGGAGCUUGCUCCUCUGACGUUAGCGGCGGACGGGUGAGUAACACGUGGAUAACCUACCUAUAAGACUGGGAUAACUUUGGGAAACCGGAGCUAAUACCGGAUAACAUGUUGAACCGCAUGGUUCAACAGUGAAAGACGGUUUUGCUGUCACUUAUCGAUGGAUCCGCGUCGCAUUAGCUAGUUGGUAAGGUAACGGCUUACCAAGGCAACGAUGCGUAGCCGACCUGAGAGGAUGAUCAGCCACACUGGAACUGUGACACGGUCCAGACGCCUACGGGAGGCAGCAGUAGGGAAUCUGCCGCAAUGAGCGGAAGCCUUAGGGAGCAACGCCACGUGAGUGAAGAAGGUCUUCGGAGCGUAAAACUCUGUUAUUAGGGAAGAACAAAUGUGUAAGUAACUAUGCACGUCUCGACGGUACCUAAUCAGAAAGCCACGGCUAACUACGUG
rnacentral:rRNA from 1 species